rnacentral:misc_RNA from 1 species
ACUUGUAUCGAAUGACCAUUCUUCUUCUGUUGCCGGGGCCGACGCUGGCUGGGAGAGCGCGUGCUUUGCAAGCAUGAGGUCGUCGGUUCGAUCCCGUCUGGCUCCACCAGAUGGUUUGAUCGCCGAGAUCUUGCACCGUCGUCCGCGAAACAUCACUUCGCAUCCUGCUAGUCUGGAUAGACAGCAAGAUGCGUGUUUUCUGACAUCGUAAAGAGGAGAUCGAUCCGAGUUGGGUCGUGCAGCAGAUUGUUGCGCGAAUCCUUCAUUAUCUCCGGAUCAUUUUCGGCGCUCGCUUUCAGCCGUGAGGUUGAAUGCGAGUUGUAAAAUGAUCCUUUUAGCGAAGCUUGACCGCCUCGCUAUCGGAACGAUCUUACGAAGCAAGCUGGUCUUUCUAGUCAAUGUCCGGCUGCAGAUAGCGUUCGUCGAGGGCGCGUGCCGCAAGGCAAUUCUGCAGACAACAUUCUGCCGAGUGUGUGGACAUUGAUAAUGAGAGCAAUCAAGUGCCUUAAGGGUGUUCGGUGGAUGCCUUGGCGCUGAGAGGCGAUGAAGGACGUGCUACGCUGCGAUAAGCCGUGGGGAGCUGCGAAGAAGCUUUGAUCCGCGGAUUUCCGAAUGGGGAAACCCGGA